ACGAACGCUGGCGGCGUGGAUAAGACAUGCAAGUCGAACGGGAGAAUUGCUAGCUUGCUAAUAAUUCUCUAGUGGCGCACGGGUGAGUAACACGUGAGUAACCUGCCUCUUAGUGGGGGAUAGCCCUGGGAAACCGGGAUUAAUACCGCAUACGAUUGAAAGAUCAAAGCAGCAAUGCGCUAGGAGAUGGGCUCGCGGCCUAUUAGUUAGUUGGUGAGGUAACGGCUCACCAAGGCGAUGACGGGUAGCCGGUCUGAGAGGAUGUCCGGCCACACUGGAACUGAGACACGGUCCAGACACCUACGGGUGGCAGCAGUCGAGAAUCAUUCACAAUGGGGGCAACCCUGAUGGUGCGACGCCGCGUGGGGGAAUGAAGGUCUUCGGAUUGUAAACCCCUGUCAUGUGGGAGCAAAUUAAAAAGAUAGUACCACAAGAGGAAGAGACGGCUAACUCUGUGCCAGCAGCCGCGGUAAUACAGAGGUCUCAAGCGUUGUUCGGAAUCACUGGGCGUAAAGCGUGCGUAGGCUGUUUCGUAAGUCGUGUGUGAAAGGCAGGGGCUCAACCCCUGGAUUGCAAAUGAUACUGCGAGACUAGAGUAAUGGAGGGGGAACCGGAAUUCUCGGUGUAGCAGUGAAAUGCGUAGAUAUCGAGAGGAACACUCGUGGCGAAGGCGGGUUCCUGGACAUUAACUGACGCUGAGGCACGAAGGCCAGGGGAGCGAAAGGGAUUAGAUACCCCUGUAGUCCUGGCAGUAAACGGUGCACGCUUGGUGUGCGGGGAAUCGACCCCCUGCGUGCCGGAGCUAACGCGUUAAGCGUGCCGCCUGGGGAGUACGGUCGCAAGAUUAAAACUCAAAGAAAUUGACGGGGACCCGCACAAGCGGUGGAGUAUGUGGCUUAAUUCGAUGCAACGCGAAGAACCUUACCUGGGCUUGACAUGUAAUGAACAACAUGUGAAAGCAUGCGACUCUUCGGAGGCGUUACACAGGUGCUGCAUGGCCGUCGUCAGCUCGUGUCGUGAGAUGUUUGGUUAAGUCCAGCAACGAGCGCAACCCCUGUUGCCAGUUACCAGCACGUCAAGGUGGGGACUCUGGCGAGACUGCCCAGAUCAACUGGGAGGAAGGUGGGGACGACGUCAGGUCAGUAUGGCCCUUAUGCCCAGGGCUGCACACGUACUACAAUGCCCAGUACAGAGGGGGCCGAAGCCGCGAGGCGGAGGAAAUCCUGAAAACUGGGCCCAGUUCGGACUGUAGGCUGCAACCCGCCUACACGAAGCCGGAAUCGCUAGUAAUGGCGCAUCAGCUACGGCGCCGUGAAUACGUUCCCGGGUCUUGUACACACCGCCCGUCACAUCAUGGAAGCCGGUCGCACCCGAAGUAUCUGAAGCCAACCGCAAGGAGGCAGGGUCCUAAGGUGAGACUGGUAACUGGGAUG
rnacentral:rRNA from 1 species